CCCUUAGAUGUUCUGGGCCGCACGCGCGCUACACUGAGUGGAUCAGCGGGUCAGGUUGCGCGAAAGCGUUUCCUAAUCUUGAAAUCCGCUCGUGAUGGGGAUUGACGGUUGCAAUUUUCUGUCAUGAACGAGGAAUACCUUGUAAGCGCGAGUCAUCAUCCCGCGCUGAAUACGUCCCUGCCCUUUGUACACACCGCCCGUCGCUCCUACCGAUUGAGUGGUCCGGUGAGGCUUUGGGAUCUGAGCGGAAAGAGCGUUUCGCUCGUUCUGCCCGGAAAACUCAGUCGAACCUUAUCAUUUAGAGGAAGGAGAAGUCGUAACA
rnacentral:rRNA from 1 species